CUGUGGCUGUGGUGUAGCCCGACCAAGACCACCCGAUUUAUCCUGAAGAUGUAUCCGCUCGCAAUGCUGCUUGCAGGAGGCAAGGGAGGAAACCUACGUCGCCGUAUAUGAGCAGCACCACCCUGCAAUUAACGUACAGGUGCGUGUCAACCUCACUUAACUAGUCACGUGACAAACGAGCGAGUGAGUAGCCCAUCUGGCUACAUUGAGCUCUCACAGCAUAAACACUGUAAACUCACUCAGUCAUUUCCUUAUUUCCUUGAUGACAUUAUCAUUGUUUAUAAAUAGGAGUGACCUGGUGAUGUAAUGGAAGUUUCAGGGCGGCGUUUGCAUGCUUUCAUACUAUCACUCUCACUAUCACAGGAAGACAGUCUCAGUCUCAUCAAUGACUUUAUUUGGAUUGUUAUUGGCACAGACACGGACUCUCAAAUCCUGCUGUUAUCUCAGAGGGCUGUGCUAUCCUACCCUGGAUCACCACCAAGUCAUUGGUUCAGACUGGAAGCUGCAGAGACAUGAAAGAUGAUACAAAGCUGAACUUGGAAAAAAUUUGCGUCUUUUAAAGAAGGAAAAGACAUUGGGGCAUUUAUUUAUUUUAAAUACUUAUUUAUGAAUUAUUUGAAAAUAAAACCUAACACUAAGCUUUUCUUGGUAGUGUGCAGAACAAACCUGAUGACACUAAAUCCCAGAAAGCUUAAAGUCAACCAAUCACAUCCAAGCUUUGAGGGCCCCCCCCCCACCAAGGCUGUGAGCAAGGUGGCAGAAAAAAACAAAGCUGGCUGAAUCCAAAACACAGCGAAAAACCUGCCUGGUUAUCACAGUAACCACAGCAGUGUUUGCUCAGUAUACUUUAUUUAUGGGCUGUUUCCGUUGGACCUUGCACUGAGUUACUAAGCAACUGAAACAGCCUCAUAAAUGUUACCAGAGGGAGAAAACAGUGCCUACAGUCACAGCCUCCAUAUUUGUAGUUCCUUGUUUGUAGGACGAUUUCUCCAAAACGUGUUGAUCAUACUUAUUGGAGUUGGCGCGAGCUUUUUUGUGUCACUUUGGGCAUCAUCAAGAUGUGAUGCCCACAUUGGCCAGGAGGUGUCGCUGUGAGAUGGAUUUGAGCCUCACUUUGUCCAUCAUUAAUGA